CACGUAGGCACCAAGCGUUAUCCGGAUUUAUUGGGCGUACAGAGCUCGUAGGCGGUUCGGUAAGUCGGGUGUGAAAACUCUGGGCUCAACCCAGAGAGGCCACCCGAUACUGCUGUGACUAGAGUGCGGUAGGGGAGCGGGGAAUUCCUGGUGUAGCGGUGAAAUGCGCAGAUAUCAGGAGGAACACCAGCGGCGAAGGCGCCGCUCUGGGCCGUAACUGACGCUGAGGAGCGAAAGCAUGGGUAGCAAACAGG
rnacentral:rRNA from 1 species